CCUACGGGGGGCUGCAGUGGGGGAUAUUGCACAAUGGGGGGAACCCUGAUGCAGCGACGCCGCGUGAGCGAAGAAGUACCUCGGUAUGUAAAGCUCUAUCAGCAGGGAAGAAAAUGACGGUACCUGACUAAGAAGCCCCGGCUAAAUACGUGCCAGCAGCCGCGGUAAUACGUAGGGGGCAAGCGUUAUCCGGAUUUACUGGGUGUAAAGGGAGCGCAGGCGGCCUGCUAAGUCUGGUGUGAAAGACCGGGGCCCAACCCCGGGCCUGCAUUGGAAACUGGCGGGCUGGAGUGUCGGAGGGGCAGGCGGAAUUCGUGGUGUAGCGGUGAAAUGCGUAGAUAUUAGGAGGAACACCGGUGGCGAAGGCAGCUUACUGGACUGUAACUGACGUUGAGGCUCGAAAGCGUGGGGAGCAAACAGGAUUAGAUACCCCGGUAGUC
rnacentral:rRNA from 1 species